GGGCCCAUAGCUCAGUGGAAGAGCGCCUGGUUUGCAGCCAGGAGGCCGCGGGUUCAAAUCUGCCGAGACAACUCUCAGCAGGGGUACUCCCGCUGGGUCCACCA
rnacentral:tRNA from 1 species